rnacentral:rRNA from 1 species
AAUGAACGCUGGCGGCGCGCCUAAUACAUGCAAGUCGAGCGAGAAGACGUAGCAAUACGUUUGUAAAGCGGCGAACGGGUGCGGAAUACAUGGGUAACCUACCCUCGAGUGGGGAAUAACUAGCCGAAAGGUUAGCUAAUACCGCGUACGCUCCUUGGACUUCGGUUCAGGGAGGAAAGCGAUACCGUGGGUAUCGCGCUCUUGGAUGGGCUCAUGUCCUAUCAGCUUGUUGGUGAGGUAACGGCUCACCAAGGCUUCGACGGGUAGCUGGUCUGAGAGGACGAUCAGCCACACUGGCACUGCGACACGGGCCAGACUCCUACGGGAGGCAGCAGUCGGGAAUUUUGGGCAAUGGGCGAAAGCCUGACCCAGCAACGCCGCGUGAAGGACGAAGUCUUUCGGG